GCAGACUCACUCUGCACCUGGCCGCAUGCAGUUCCAGGCGGGAGCUUUUUCAUCUGCCACAGAAGCCUUCCAGGCUGCUGCGACCGCCUAGACCUGUCCAGGGUGACGCAGCUGCCUGGGGACAUGGUG